rnacentral:lncRNA from 10 species
GGAAACCGUCCUCAUGAUCCUCCCAAUAGCCCCCAAUCACCUCCCAUCAGGACCCUCCCUCCACACGUGGGGAUUACAAUUCAAGAUGAGAUUCAGGUGGGGACACAAAGCCAAACCAUAUCAUCUUCAUUCUCCCCCCUGGCACUUGAGGGGAAAAAAGAAUCAUAUCAGCUUGACUAUUCAAAAAAGAAGCAAGAGCGCCACAGUUAUUUCAGUGCAUGGGAAAAGGGAUAAACUGAAACAAUAAACUUGAACGUUUAGGAAUAUAAAGGGCACAGCAUCACCUUACAUCGAAGACAGAUUCAACGAAUCUGCCUCUCAUCCUAGGUGGCCACUAGGCAACUCCUCUGGGACCAUUUCUUCCUGCUCUAUGCUCCCAUGACCUUCAUUCAUACUCCCUCUUCCCCUGCUGGAAACCUACUUCUUUUACCUCCUCAAAGGUAAAAGGACCAGCUGGUGAACAAAAGAAUACAUUUGCUCUAUCUAAAGAGAAGCAUUAGAGCAAGGGAGGAAAAACUGAUGCAAGACAAAUGACUUGGGCUCAUCAUAAAAUACUGAGCAGUCAGCAGAACAUUAAGAAGAGACUUCUA